rnacentral:rRNA from 1 species
ACGUAGGUGACGAGCGUUGUUCGGAAUUAUUGGGCGUAAAGGGUUCGUAGGAGGUUUAUUAAGAUUGGUGUGAAAUCCCAAGGCUCAACCUUGGAACUGCAUUGAUUACUGAUGAACUAGAGUGUCGUAGAGGAAAGCGGAAUUCCAGGUGUAGCAGUGGAAUGGGUAGUUAUGCGGAAGAACACCGAAAGAGAAGGCAGCCAACUGGGCCUGUACUGACGCUCAUGCACGAAAGCUUUGGGAUCCGCCAG